GUUCUUGUAGCGCAAUGGAUAGUGCGUUGGACAUCUAAUCCAAAGGUCGUGGGGCCAUCCCACCUGGGAUG